UGUACAGUGUCUCCUGACCUAAUCUAAAAAUAAGUAAGUGCCACCUACUUCUAAUUCCGAUUAGAUUUCCAGCCAAAAGGAGAGCACACACCUCUCACAUGUCAAAAUAUAAAGGGCAAGAAGGUCACACUAAUCAAAAUACUCGUGAUAAAAAGAAUCAAAAUAAAAUAAGAUUAUGGCAUAAUUACACUCCCCCAAUUCACCAGCACUGUGACGUCUCCACUGCAGACCAGCCCCCGCAACCUCAACUCCCCGACCACGUUCUGGCCGACUAAAUCACGCACGACCAGGCUCGGACGCAGACCAGACUCGCGAGCCCCUCUCCUCGACCAGAAUUCGAUGACCUCUGCUCCCCGAAGACCAUACCUCGGCUUCAUCAGUUGUGCACGCAGCCACGCGCCCAACAGCUUUUCCUGCAGCCACAUGCUCUCGCAUUUGUCGAUGAGAAUUUUGUCCCGAAGACUGUCGCGACGAAAAUAGGCACUUCAUGAUGGGGUGGAAGUUGAGAGAGGAAAGCCAUGAAAGGUCGACUCCAGAAUACAAAGAAAUUGGUUUGGCUUCACAGUCUUCAGUAGCAAGCGAUCACCGAAACUGAAUUUGGAGAAUAAAGUGAUGUUACUUUUCUUUCAUUCAGGAAACCUAUUGAACUAAGCUCUCUCUCUAGACUUGAUUUAUUUUGUGUUUCUGCUAUGGACUAAGCAGACAUGGUUUGUGGCGUUUUGGCUUUUAGAUGAAUGAAUGGUGCAUUUUCAUAUUGUUGGGGAGAAAGAAUCGUGUAAAUGGUUUUGGAAUCACAGCUGAGAUCUGAACUCAUUUUGAUUAGUGUAGAUUCGAUUAGGUUGAUUUUGUCCAAACAGGAUGAUGAUAAUUUUGUUAUUGGUCAUGUUCAUUAUGAUAUUUUGUUUUUGCUU